GCUAGCUUUGACGUGUACAGUGCGUCUCCAUAUGAGGUUGCGUCUCCAUAUGAGGUUGCGUCUCCAUAUGAGGUUGCGUCUCCACAUAGAGUCACACCAGUGUAAAAUCCAGAACAACCACCCCUUAAAUUUGUACCUUGACGUAGUUGCCAAACCAGUUUAAAAUCCAGAAAUUAAUUUAUACAAUUGAUACAACCCUUUCUCGUUUUGGUCUAUAUAUUGAAACAAAAAUUGAAUAAGGAGAAAAAGAGAUCAGACGAUAAAAUUGAGGAUUUUCCUUCUGGUUUCCAAAAUACAAUAGAAAUAGAGCAAUAUCAAAGAAGAAGAAUCUGCCAUCAUACUUCUUCCCAUCAACCCAUAACCUUAACCUUAAACAUACUCGAUCACUAACAACAAGCGGAGGACGAGAAUCAACCCACCACCACGCCACGGAAAAGGGUAUUUUCCUCAUUUAUAGGUUUGCUGUUGUAUAUUAUUGAAAAAUUGAAUUUUUGUUUUUUGAUGUGUAUGAAUAGAGUUUUGGUUGAGAUUUUUGAUGUGUAAUUGGGUUAGUUUUGUACUAAAUCUGUUUCUGCUAUUGUAUUUUGAAUCCUUGUUUACCUGCUAGGCUGAUACGCUGCACAUACUUCACGCACGCCAACUGUUUGAUAAUAUACUUGUGUGGUGGACGAACCUUUUUUUAGUUUCUCUAUUUUCAGUAUUUAUUUCUUUUAAUUAUAAUAAUUCUAUUUUAA
rnacentral:lncRNA from 1 species